AGUACUGUGAAAACGAUGUACGUGCCAUGAUUGCAAUCGAACUGUUUAUUAAGGACUUUAUUACGAAUCAGCUUUAACCUUAUUCUUUAAAGCUUUUAGUUUUGGUUUACGUGCCUUUCA
rnacentral:sRNA from 1 species